rnacentral:lncRNA from 1 species
UUGACAUAUUAGCAGCUCUCUCAGUUUGCAACUUAGUGAUUGUUUCUUUUUGUUCUUCAGAGACUCUGCAGACUUCUGCACUCUUCAGACACAGCUUUUUAUAUGAUUCAGCCAGUUCAUCAAAUGUCAGUUCUUCUUCACAGGAUUCAGUGUCAGAUGUGCAAACACUUGUCAAUACAUGUAUAGCCUUUGCAGUAUCGGUUUCUCCUUCAGAAUCUUCAUCUGACCAAGUUACAGUUAACCCCUUUUUUUGUUUCUUCAGAAAGGUACCACAUUCACUUCUAAUGUGUCCAAACCCCUCACAUUCAUGGCAUUGAACACCUUUAUUUGGAGCUGAUUUUU